GACGCAUCACUGGUGUUCGGGUUGUCAUGCCAAUGGCAUUGCCCGGUAGCUAAAUGCGGAAGAGAUAAGUGCUGAAAGCAUCUAAGCACGAAACUUGCCCCGAGAUGAGUUCUCCCUGACUCCUUGAGAGUCCUGAAGGAACGUUAAAGACGAUGACGUUGAUAGGUCGGGUGUGUAAGUGUAGCGAUACAUUGAGCUAACCGAUACUAAUGAACCGUGAGGCUUAACCUU
rnacentral:rRNA from 1 species